rnacentral:rRNA from 1 species
CCUCUCGGGGUUACAGCCUUGCUGAAUUAUUCACCCUUGUCUUUUGCGUACUUCUUGUUUCCUUGGUGGGUUCGCCCACCACUAGGACAAACAUAAACCUUUUGUAAUUGCAAUCAGCGUCAGUAACAAAUUAAUAAUUACAACUUUCAACAACGGAUCUCUUGGUUCUGGCAUCGAUGAAGAACGCAGCGAAAUGCGAUAAGUAGUGUGAAUUGCAGAAUUCAGUGAAUCAUCGAAUCUUUGAACGCACAUUGCGCCCUUUGGUAUUCCAAAGGGCAUGCCUGUUCGAGCGUCAUUUGUACCCUCAAGCUUUGCUUGGUGUUGGGCGUCUUGUCUCUAGCUUUGCUGGAGACUCGCCUUAAAGUAAUUGGCAGCCGGCCUACUGGUUUCGGAGCGCAGCACAAGUCGCACUCUCUAUCAGCAAAGGUCUAGCAUCCAUUAAGCCUUUUUUCAACUUUUGACCUCGGAUCAGGUAGGGAUACCCGCUGAACUUAAGCAUA